rnacentral:rRNA from 1 species
AAUCAACGCUGGCGGCGUGCCUCAGACAUGCAAGUCGAACGCGAAAGUUUCCUUCGGGAAGCGAGUAGAGUGGCGCACGGGUGAGUAACACGUAAGUAAUCUACCUCGGGGUGGGGAAUAACAUCGGGAAACCGAUGCUAAUACCGCAUAAUGCAGCGGCUUCUUAUGAAGACAGUUGUUAAAGCAUUUAUGUGCCUGGAGAGGAGCUUGCGGCAGAUUAGCUAGUUGGUAAGGUAAUGGCUUACCAAGGCAACGAUCUGUAGCCGACCUGAGGGGUGGUCGGUCACACUGACACUGAAUAACGGGUCAGACUCCGUACGGAGGCAGCAGUCGGGAAUUUUGGGCAAUGGGCGCAAGCCUGACCCAGCAACG